GAGCGUUAUCCGGAAUUAUUGGGCGUAAAGAGCUCGUAGGCGGUUUGUCACGUCUGUCGUGAAAGUCCGGGGCUUAACCCCGGAUCUGCGGUGGGUACGGGCAGACUAGAGUGCAGUAGGGGAGACUGGAAUUCCUGGUGUAGCGGUGGAAUGCGCAGAUAUCAGGAGGAACACCGAUGGCGAAGGCAGGUCUCUGGGCUGUAACUGACGCUGAGGAGCGAAAGCAUGGGGAGCGAACAGGAUUAGAUACCCUGGUAGUCCAUGCCGUAAACGUUGGGCACUAGGUGUGGGGACCAUUCCACGGUUUCCGCGCCGCAGCUAACGCAUUAAGUGCCCCGCCUGGGGAGUACGGCCGCAAGGCUAAAACUCAAAGGAAUUGACGGGGGCCCGCACAAGCGGCGGAGCAUGCGGAUUAAUUCGAUGCAACGCGAAGAACCUUACCAAGGCUUGACAUGUUUUCGACCGCCGUGGAGACACGGUUUCCCCUUUGGGGCGGAUUCACAGGUGGUGCAUGGUUGUCGUCAGCUCGUGUCGUGAGAUGUUGGGUUAAGUCCCGCAACGAGCGCAACCCUCGUUCCAUGUUGCCAGCACGUAAUGGUGGGGACUCAUGGGAGACUGCCGGGGUCAACUCGGAGGAAGGUGAGGACGACGUCAAAUCAUCAUGCCCCUUAUGUCUUGGGCUUCACGCAUGCUACAAUGGCCGGUACAAUGGGUUGCGAUACUGUGAGGUGGAGCUAAUCCCAAAAAGCCGGUCUCAGUUCGGAUUGGGGUCUGCAACUCGACCCCAUGAAGUCGGAGUCGCUAGUAAUCGCAGAUCAGCAACGCUGCGGUGAAUACGUUCCCGGGCCUUGUACACACCGCCCGUCAAGUCACGAAAGUCGGUAACACCCGAAGCCGGUGGCCUAACCCU
rnacentral:rRNA from 1 species